AAACAUAGUAAUUGUUCCUUGCAGUUGUGAAACAAACAAAGAGUUGAGAUGGAGAAUCCAAAUGGAAGCCCUGGUUUAAAUAGAACGGACUGGGAAGACCUCUCUGAAGGGAUACCAACCAUCUGGCCCUAAAACAAAUCUCAUCAGUUUAUGAACCAAGCAGCCCAAUCAGAGUGCCUAAUUCUCCCUACCACACAAUUGGUCAAGGAGGAAGCAAGUGACAUAAUCUAAAUUCUUUCCAAAGAUGGAUGCAAAUGCUAGGAAAGCAAGAGUUGAAUUGCUAGCCAUGAGGAAAACGUAAGCCUGAGCUGUUUGCUGGUCAUCUUUGCUUCCAUAUGGAGACAGCCUGCGUGGAAAGGAAGCCACACAGAGAAAACAGAAGAGCAGUGAAGAGAAAGGUAAAAGGAGAGAUCCCAUGACAUGAUUUGCACUCUUAGAUCCAGUUAUGCCUGAAGCAGGACCCACCCCUUGGACUUCCCAUUUCCAGGAGCCUAUGCAUUCUCUGUUGCUAAAACUAGAUUGAGUUGAGUUUCUAUCACCUACAAGUUGACAGAAAAUAUCAACAAUCCAGCCACAUGGAGCCUCAAGGCAGUACCACUAACCCUGGUCACCACACAAAUACUGACCAGAGGCUUUUCACCUGAAUCAACUGUUUGUGUUCUUCACUCGGUCUCCUCACCUGCUUCCUGGAAGACCUAGCUGACACAGAUGGUUACAAGAAAUGAUUUCCUCCCUAUAAAACUUUAGAAGAUCGCGCUUGCUGCUCUGUGAAGAAGGACUGGGCGAAAAACAAAUAGAAUCAGGGAGAACAGUCCGAGGGUGAUCAAAAUAAUCCAGACGGAAGACGACUACGUUUUAGUCUGAAGUGGUGGGAGUGGUGAUGGAGAAGAGCAGACGUCUGCGAGUUUUAUUUUGGAGAUAGAGCCACAGGACUUGCAGCAAGAGCUCUGGAGGUGGGAAGGAGGACAAGGAGGAGAGAGGAGCAACCAGAAGCUGUGGUGGCUGUUAGUCUGCAGAGAAUAAUUCAAGACAGAUAUUUGCAAGCUGCAUGGAGCACAAGCCCUGUACAUCCAGAUGACAAUGUGAUCGUUCACAAGCACAUUGAAAAAUUCACACCAUGGAAAAGAACUAAAGUCCCAUCCUAAUUCAUCAGAGCCUUCUGUUUCCUGUAACAAAGAAGAACUCACAAGAUCGGGAUUCCAAGGUAUAUAUCCAGGAGUGGAAGUGCUGAAUUACAUGCUUCUUGUAUAGAAGAUACCCCAAAAAAUGUUUGCUGAAUGAAGAAAUAAAGGAUUGCUCAGGCACCACUGGCACUUCAACUUGCUUAGCAAGUACUCAUGCCUCUUAAGAACUGGCCAAGGGCCGGGUGUGGUGGCUCACGCCUGUAAUUCCAGCAUUUUGGGAUGCCAAGGUGGGCAGA